CAGCCGCCGCGGUAAUGCGUAGGGUGCGAGCGUUAAUCGGAAUUACUGGGCGUAAAGCGUGCGUAGGUGGUGGUUUAAGUCCGUUGUGAAAGCCCUGGGCUCAACCUGGGAAUUGCAGUGGAUACUGGGUCACUAGAGUGUGGUAGAGGAUAGUGGAAUUUCCGGUGUAGCAGUGAAAUGCGUAGAGAUCGGAAGGAACAUCUGUGGCGAAGGCGACUAUCUGGGCCAACACUGACACUGAGGCACGAAAGCGUGGGGAGCAAACAGGAUUAGAUACCCCCGUAGUCCCUGUCUCUUAUAC
rnacentral:rRNA from 1 species